GGAGAGGUGGCCGAGCCCGGUUUAAGGCGCACGCCUGGAGAGCGUGUGUUCUCGAAAGGGAACCGGGGGUUCAAAUCCCCCCCUCUCCGCCA
rnacentral:tRNA from 1 species